GGCAGGGGCUGGGGCUGGGGCGGCCGCGGGAUGCGGCGCUGAGGCGGCGGAGGCUCGGCGGCGGCGGCGGCUCCGCGCUGGAGGCUCCGCGGCGCUGCCUCCCGCAGCCCCAUGAUGUGCCUGGAAAGCGACGGCUCCUCCGGCAGCAGCCCGGCUUGCGGCGGGCGGCUCCGAGCCGGUGACGAGGAAGAGGAGGAGGAGGAGGAAGAGGAGGAAGAAGAGGGCGAGCGAGGCUGCUGCGGCCGGGGAGCGGAGGGCGAGGUGCAGACGCUGUCGGGCAGCAUGAACCCGCCGCCCGAGCGCCCCGCAGCCCGUCGCAAGGCACCGAGCCUCGGCCGGGCACGCGUGGCGGCCGCCGGCAUCCUCAGCGUGGGCAACGUGCUCAACUACCUGGACCGGUACACGGUGGCAGGUGUGUUACUAGACAUCCAGCAGCACUUUGGAGUCAAAGACAGUGGGGCUGGCUUGCUACAGACAGUUUUCAUCUGCAGUUUCAUGGUUGCAGCGCCCAUCUUCGGUUACCUUGGGGACCGUUUCAACAGAAAGAUCAUCCUCAGCUGUGGGAUCUUCUUCUGGUCAGCUGUCACUUUUUCCAGCUCCUUCAUCACUGAACAGUAUUUCUGGCUUCUUGUGCUCUCACGAGGUUUGGUUGGCAUCGGUGAAGCAAGUUACUCCACUAUUGCUCCAACCAUCAUCGGAGACCUUUUCACCAAAAACACAAGGACCCUUAUGCUGUCUGUUUUCUACUUUGCAAUUCCUCUUGGCAGUGGCUUGGGAUACAUCACUGGAUCAAGUGUGAAGCAGGUUGCUGGAGACUGGCACUGGGCAUUGCGGGUAUCUCCACUCCUAGGAAUGAUAACAGGGACACUCAUCUUGAUAUUUGUGCCCGCUGCUAAAAGAGGAAACGUUGAACAACUUGGGGGACAGCUGAAGGCUCGGACCUCAUGGCUGAGAGACAUGAAGGCACUGAUAAGAAACCGCAGCUACGUGUUCUCCUCACUGGCCACCUCAGCUGUCUCUUUUGCCACUGGGGCGCUCGGCAUGUGGAUCCCUCUCUACCUUCACAGAGCGCAAGUUGUGCAGAAGACUGCAGAGACGUGCAGCUCACAGCCCUGUGGCACCAAAGAUAGCUUGAUCUUUGGAGCAAUCACAUGCUUCACCGGUUUCCUGGGUGUUAUCACAGGAGCUGGGGCAACCAAAUGGUGCCGCUUAAAAACCCAGCGAGCUGAUCCUCUUGUCUGUGCUGUUGGCAUGCUGGGGUCAGCCAUCUUCAUCUGUUUGAUCUUCGUUGCUGCCAAGAGCAGCAUUGUGGGAGCCUAUAUUUGCAUUUUUAUUGGAGAAACUCUUCUGUUUUCAAACUGGGCUAUCACAGCAGACAUACUAAUGUAUGUGGUCAUCCCAACGCGCCGCGCAACCGCAGUGGCCUUGCAGAGCUUCACUUCGCACCUCCUGGGAGAUGCUGGCAGCCCUUACCUGAUUGGAUUUAUUUCAGACCUGAUACGACAAAGCACAAAGGAGUCCCCGCUCUGGGAGUUCCUCAGCUUGGGGUAUGCACUCAUGCUCUGCCCGUUUGUCGUUGUCCUAGGAGGGAUGUUUUUCCUGGCCACAGCCCUCUUCUUCCUAAGUGACCGAGCCAAAGCUGAACAACAUAAAGAAACCGAUUCGGACCACCUCACGGUUGGCAACUACAGUAAUUCAGAAGACGCUUCCACAUGACAUACACACUCCUGGGGGUGAAUCACCUCGUGAUGCCACCAGCCUCCGUGAAGGUCUGAGACGUUGCCAGUGAAGGAAACCACAUGUGGACUCCAGCUUCCACCACCACAAUCUCCAGCUCAAAGCCCUUCCAUACUGGAACCGGUGGCUCCUUUAGCUCCACGCCGCCCCGGGAGGGUUCUCCAGCACCAAACCCAUUGCAGCGCUCCGCCUGCGGGGCCAGGCAGCAGGAGAUGAGCAGGGCAGCCUGGAACAAACGCUGCUGGAGCGUAAGGACAUUCCCAGGUUCCUCUGAGCAUCGCAAGCAACUCUCCGCCGGCCCCACAGCCCAAGUGAGUGACUGUAGAUUGUGUAUAUGGUUUUAGUUGUAGCCGAUGAAGUCCACACCGUUUAUAGGACAACCUCCGUCCUAGCAAAUGCUGCUGUUCUGCCAGCACUCCUGCACCCAGAGACUGCACUAGUUGGGGACCUGUUCUGUACAUCACCUUUUCUUUAACACUGAAGGCUCAAUUCAGAUUAUUAUUUUUUAUUUAAAUACGUCAUAAGAUGCUUUAUCUCUGCUGAAGACAUAUAUAUAAAUAUAUAUAUUUAGAUAAACAGUUUUUAUUUAAACGUUUGAGAUCUGGAGCUGCCUGUGCAACCCUACCAGCCACGAAUACGUCCACAACUCUCCUCAUCUCAGUGCCCUGCUAUCAGGCCCUGGAGGGGCACCACAGGAAGAGUCCCAGGGGAUGGAUGACUGCCUGUCACCUGAGGCUGAGCAGUGGGACAGAGGAGAGAGUUUUGCUGCACUGGGUAUGCUGGCGGUUGUUACAGAAAGGCCCAGAACUUCUGACAGAAAUACCUAGGGGCUCCAGAUUUUGCUCAAUAUGCUAAAUUCAGCCUUGCCUAGGAGAUUCACAGGUUUUUAAAAUACCAAAAUCCAGCUGGCUGAAUUGCUUUACCUAGGGCCUGGUAGUGCAAUACUGCUGUGCCAGUGACACCACGCUUUGUUUACACGCAUAUCAUGGUCUGUGGAUUGUCAGUGCUAACUCUCCCUUGUCAGUAUUUUCAAAGCAGGUGGCUGAUACUUUAGAGUAGCUGUUCCCUUUGGAACGAUGGUUAGGUGUAACGCAUGUCCAACCCCCAGCAUACUCCCAGCCUACUCUUACUGGGGUGUCAGUUAAUCAUCUAUCUUUAUGAAGAUGUACUUGAGAUCUUUCAUAUACAAGGCCAGUGUCUGAACAAAUGCAGCAGAGUGUGUCUGUAAAGCAGUCAGAGUGCCAUUCCCCAGGAGUCUUAUGUCCUGCACUUGACCACCACAAGCCGAAUUUAUGCUAUGUCAGCCUGAUGCUGCAAGA